rnacentral:rRNA from 1 species
UACGGAGGGUGCGAGCGUUGUCCGGAAUCACUGGGCGUAAAGGGCGCGUAGGCGGCCUGAUAAGUAGGGGGUGAAAUCCUGCGGCUUAACCGCAGGGCUGCCUUCUAAACUGUCAGGCUAGAGCACAGUAGAGGCAGGUGGAAUUCCCGGUGUAGCGGUGGAAUGCGUAGAGAUCGGGAAGAACACCAGUGGCGAAGGCGGUCUGCUGGGCCGUUGCUGACGCUGAGGCGCGACAGCGUGGGGAGCAAACAGG